GUGACUGUUGAUCUAGUUAGUAUGUUGUACUGCCAGAACCACCAGUAUGAAGGCUUCACUGGCUUCUUCUCUGAGUUAAGCAUGUUAUGCAAACAGGGAUAUUGAUUAGCUUUGGUGUUAGAAAAUAAGUUAGGAAGCCACAUCCUUUUUGGUCUGUGUGACUUUUUCUCAUUGCAUGAAAAAGAUACUUUGCAUGAAGACAGUAUUGUAGGCCUACCAAGUGCCCCCCAAAGCCCAAAGCAUCUGGAAGGAGGAGGCUUCAAUAUCAACGUGAACAUCCAGCUUUUCCAGGCCUUGGACAGACUAGGUCCUGCUUCUUGCUUCCACUCAUGGUGAUACUCCUGAAACCUACAAAAAUGUACUAGGUCAGCCUAUUUCAACAGACCACUGUAGAGGAAGUAUAUGAUAUAGACAUGUUUCAGUUAGAUUUCAGACCUGGACAUGAGAUGGAAAUCCCUUCAGUCACCCUAGUGGAUGACCUGCAUUAGGAUGUAGACGGGGGAAAUGUUCUGGUUGUCUUUUGGGGCAUCGUGACAGUAUUUGGUACCACUGAUCAUAAUAUCCUUCUGGAGAAUCUGGGCAGAGUGGUUGGGAAUCAGGAGCACUUUGCUGCAAUGGUUUUGCUCCUUCCUAAGAGGACAGUGAAUUGCGGUGGUAAUAGAGUGGAACUGUGCAUCAGGAAGUCCUAGAUUUGGUUGGGAGAGGGCCAUUUAGGAAGUAUGGUUUUUGCUUCCUGUUAAAAUUAUCUGCCUAUCUAUCUACCUAUGUGUAUGGCCUUUUACAGAGAACAAAGCUGAGAUCUCCGCUCCAGAGUAGGACACACUGAUCUAGUUUGCACACUGUAAUAAACUCACUCACUUGGAUAGAAGCAUGGACAGUGACAGCAAGAAGGAAGACAAGCGUGGUCAGAAGUUCAGGGGUUUGGUAGGAGAGAGCCUUCAGUGUGUGGGCAUCAGCUGGUACUCACUAAUGUCAGUUUCUUGUCUGAGUGCUAAAGGACAGAGUUAUGCCUCAGUAACAUAGGACAGGUUACUUGCAAAAGUGUCAUGGUUCCAUCCCAAGGCUGUCUGAGAAGGGCUAGGAAAGGCUCCUGUCUGAAACGUUGGUUGUGGAGAGGCUUUCCCAGGCAGUUAUACUCCACUCAUUGGCCCAGUGAUCCAGAUGCAGUUCUGUAGGUCUGCGUAGGCUGCUCCAGGCACUUCCAUCCUGGCACCUGGGACAAAGGAAAAUCCUGGAAAGGGAGAAGAGCUUAUUGUUGGAACUCUGUUCCUUCUCUUUUUCAAAGUUAGUUUUUUGUUUGAAACCUGCUCUUGCGGCGUCUCAAAUAAAUUAGCAUUGUGAGCAUCUUUCUCUCUUUGCAUUGAAGGGAAAGGAGCACAGGAGUGCCAGCAGCCGCCCGUAUUGUUUAGAAGCAUUAAAGAGACACCACAAAAGCCCCUGUUCUUCCCCCCGCUGCUAGCAAAUAUAAUUCAGCUCCGAUGGAUGAUGGGCCUUUGUGUCUGUGUGUGCGUGCAUGUGUGCAUAUUAUGAGCUCUCCACUGUGCAUCUAGAAAUAGAUGGAUGUCUGUGUCGCAGGGGGUGCACAAGCAGCUAGCCAUGGCCCCCAAAUUGCACUUGUGAUUUCUCAGGAAACAGAGGAUUCAGACAGUCUGCCAGACAAAGGCCUCCUGAACUUCACCCCCAGAGAGCUUUCCUUUUAAGACUCUCACGCUUCAGGGUCUGCAAGAGUCUCAUGCUUCACGCAGGAACGAGCAAAGUGUAGCACCCUCUAUGGAACUGGACUGCAACUUCCAUCACCCCUCACUUAACACAAGGAAUGGUAUCCCAUCAAGACUCAACCAGAAUCCAGAAGUUCCAGGAAGAAGUUCAGGAAACUGCUCAGCAGAAUGAGCAGGUACACUGCCAAACACUCAUGUUCAGGAAACUUUACAUGGAGAGGACUGCGUAGUGAAGAAAUUUCAGACAGGAGAGAAGAAUGGAGGUGGAUACCCUAUCCAAAUAACAAGCACAGCAAGUUGGUCAUCAUUGCUGCUAACCUGACCCCACAGAUUUCUAUUGAUCCUGGUCUGCCAAGAUCUGUAAAGAAGCAAUUGGUAACCCCACUUCAAUUUUCUGAAAGCAAGCAAGGAGAAGAUCUGAGAGUACAGUGACUAAACCUUCAAAUCUUAUGAACAGAAACCCUUAACAAUGUAGCUGUAGUUUAAACAAGCAAACACAGCUUUUCCACUCUUUUAUGGAUGACCACUCUGCACAGAAGAUCCACCAAUCUGGUAACCUGACAUGGGGAAUAUUGGUAAAUAAGUAAAUAAAUAAAGUUGAUGGCAACUCUGUCAGC